rnacentral:rRNA from 1 species
GAUGAACGCUGGCGGCGUGCUUAACACAUGCAAGUCGAACGGGAAAUAUUUCAUUGAGACUUCGGUGGAUUUGAUCUAUUUCUAGUGGCGGACGGGUGAGUAACGCGUGGGUAACCUGCCUUAUACAGGGGGAUAACAGUCAGAAAUGGCUGCUAAUACCGCAUAAGCGCACAGAGCUGCAUGGCUCAGUGUGAAAAACUCCGGUGGUAUAAGAUGGACCCGCGUUGGAUUAGCUUGUUGGUGAGGUAACGGCCCACCAAGGCGACGAUCCAUAGCCGGCCUGAGAGGGUGAACGGCCACAUUGGGACUGAGACACGGCCCAGACUCCUACGGGAGGCAGCAGUGGGGAAUAUUGCACAAUGGGGGAAACCCUGAUGCAGCGACGCCGCGUGAAGGAAGAAGUAUCUCGGUAUGUAAACUUCUAUCAGCAGGGAAGAUAGUGCCG